rnacentral:rRNA from 1 species
CCCUUAGAUGUUCUGGGCUGCACGCGCGCUACACUGAUGCACUCAACGAGUUUACGACCUUGCCCGAUAAGGUUGGGUAAUCUUUUUAAAAUGCAUCGUGAUGGGGAUAGAUUAUUGCAAUUAUUAAUCUUCAACGAGGAAUUCCUAGUAAGCGCGAGUCAUCAGCUCGUGCUGAUUACGUCCCUGCCCUUUGUACACACCGCCCGUCGCUCCUACCGAUUGAGUGCUCAGGUGAAUAAUUCGGACUGCAGCAAUGUUUGGAUCCCGAACGUUGCAGCGGAAAGUUUAGUGAACCUUAUCACUUAGAGGAAGGAGAAGUCGUAACA